CCUACGGGGGGCUGCAGUGGGGAAUAUUGGACAAUGGGGGCAACCCUGAUCCAGCCAUGCCGCGUGUGUGAAGAAGGCCCUCGGGUUGUAAAGCACUUUCAGUGAGGAAGAACGCCUGGUGGUUAAUACCCAUCAGGAAAGACAUCACUCACAGAAGAAGCACCGGCUAACUCCGUGCCAGCAGCCGCGGUAAUACGGAGGGUGCGAGCGUUAAUCGGAAUUACUGGGCGUAAAGCGCGCGUAGGUGGCUUGAUAAGCCGGUUGUGAAAGCCCCGGGCUCAACCUGGGAACGGCAUCCGGAACUGUCAAGCUAGAGUGCAGGAGAGGAAGGUAGAAUUCCCGGUGUAGCGGUGAAAUGCGUAGAGAUCGGGAGGAAUACCAGUGGCGAAGGCGACCUUCUGGACUGACACUGACACUGAGGUGCGAAAGCGUGGGUAGCAAACAGGAUUAGAUACCCGUGUAGUC
rnacentral:rRNA from 1 species